rnacentral:lncRNA from 1 species
UGCAUUACUACCAAGGAAUUGGGAACAGUGAUGAGAUCACUUGGUCAGAAUCCCACCGAAGCUGAACUACAGGAUAUGAUCAGCGAGGUUGAUGCUGAUCAGAAUGGAACCAUUGAUUUUCCAGAGUUCUUGAAUCUGAUGGCACGUAAGAUGAAGGUAUAGGAGCUCUAGCUUUUUUGACAUAAUGUCACAAUCUUUCUUAUUUGGUUAUCAGGUUUUCUCAAGUUCUUUUUCAGAUGCCUCCUUGAAAAUUGAUCUUAUAGACAAUUUGGACUAAUAGACUAGUGUGGAUGCCAACUUUGCUGUUAUGAUCCAAAUCCUUUCUGUUUCUUGGAGUUGUGGUUGGUUCAUGCAUAUAAUAGUUUGUGGUCGUAUGUUAGUGCUCUGAUUUCUUUUGGGUAAAUUAUUUUCUGUGAUUAGGGGUGAUCCAACAUCAUAUAUUUGUACUUGUGAGAUAUCAACUCGAUAACAUGCAGACAUUGUUCAUUUUAAAAUAUUUGUCUCAUUUCAACGUGAAAUACUGGUGACCUCUUUGGUAUUAAGGUAUCUUUGGAUCAAAAUUGGGUAUGCAAUUGUCUGGAUCCUUCCUAGAUUCUAUAAAACCAUUCAAGACAAACCUUGUUCAAAGUUCUGCAGGCACCAAUGAGACAUUUUGACAAGAUUUGUUUGUAAGAAGGUUUUACAAUUAGUCCUUCUUUCUUAUAAGAAGAAAUGAUUCUUGACCUGUAGAGGACUAUGUAGAUAUCCGAGUCUCUAUCCUGAGAUCGUAUAAUCAUCAAGGGAUCAGUGAUUGGUUGAUUCUUCCUUUCGUUUUAGCAUUUUGUUAUUGUUUCCCCAUUGCAUCUUAUAAAAACAUGACAAGGAAAACAGAAAUAUGUUUUCUUCAUCGCUUAUCAAAUAUUCAAUUAUUGCCAAAUCCAGCAGUAUUAUUCUCAAAUACUAAGUUUUAUACUUGGGAAGACAAUGUUCCAGCUUUUACCUCUUUCACGAUGAAAUAUGAUUUGGACUAUUCUUGUGAAGGACACUGAUUCUGAGGAAGAACUCAAAGAAGCUUUCAAGGUUUUCGAUAAAGAUCAGAAUGGCUUUAUUUCUGCAGCUGAGGUACCUUUCUGCAGAAAAGUUAUUUUCUGCAUGUAAUAAUGAGUAAAGUGCAAUUAAACAUGCUAGUAGUUUUUUCCUUUGCUAGUAUUGUGUGCAGCUGAUUCUUAGCCUCUUAUAUCUACAAUUUACAUUUCAGCUUCGUCAUGUAAUGACAAACCUUGGAGAGAAGCUGACUGAUGAAGAGGUUGAUGAGAUGAUCCGAGAAGCAGAUAUUGAUGGUGAUGGGCAAGUUAAUUACGAGGAGUUUGUCCGCAUGAUGCUUGCCAAGUGAUGACAUUAGAUUCUCGUGUAUUUUGUGACGGCCACUUAGUUACUAUAACUUCUAGCUGGCAGUUUAUAUUCGGUGUUGUUGUUAAGACAAACAAAUGUGCCCCGUGCUUUUACUAGUAUCUAGACUCCUUUCAGUUUAUAUGUUUUAACUUCUGGGCUAAUGGUGUAUACAACUAUAGUCCCUUGCCCAUUCAGAGGGUAAAAGAAAAGGAGAAAUUAGAAAGUGCAU